rnacentral:rRNA from 1 species
AAACGUAGGUGGCGAGCGUUGUCCGGAAUUACUGGGUGUAAAGGGAGCGCAGGUGGGCGCGCAAGUUGGACGUGAAAUCUAUGGGCUCAACCCAUAACGUGCGUUCAAAACUGCGUGUCUUGAGUGGAGUAGAGGCAAGUGGGAUUCCCGGUGUAGCGGUGGAAUGCGUAGAUAUCGGGAGGAACAUCAGUGGCGAAGGCAGCUUCCUGGCCCAAUACUGACGCUCAGGUGCGAAAGCGUGGGGAUCAAACAGGAUUAGAUACCCUGGUAGUCCACGCUGUAAACGAUGAGAACUAGAUGUUGGGAGGGUUUUGCCUCUCAGUGUCGUAGCUAACGCGCUAAGUUCUCCGCCUGGGGAGUACGGCCGCAAGGUUGAAACUCAAAUGAAUUGACGGGG